rnacentral:rRNA from 1 species
CCUACGGGUGGCUGCAGUGGGGAAUCUUGGACAAUGGGCGCAAGCCUGAUCCAGCCAUGCCGCGUGGGUGAAGAAGGCCUUCGGGUUGUAAAGCCCUUUCACCGGGGAAGAUAAUGACGGUACCCGGAGAAGAAGCCCCGGCUAACUCCGUGCCAGCAGCCGCGGUAAUACGGAGGGGGCUAGCGUUGUUCGGAGUCACUGGGCGUAAAGCGCACGUAGGCGGCUUUGCAAGUUGGGCGUGAAAGCCCGGGGCUCAACCCCGGAGGUGCGCCCAAGACUGCGGAGCUGGAGGCCGGGAGAGGGUGGUGGAAUUCCCAGUGUAGAGGUGAAAUUCGUAGAUAUUGGGAAGAACACCGGUGGCGAAGGCGACCACCUGGCCCGGUACUGACGCUGAGGUGCGAAAGCGUGGGGAGCAAACAGGAUUAGAUACCCUUGUAGU